rnacentral:rRNA from 1 species
CCGAGGUUAAUACCGGAUACUCCAUAUUUGUCGCAUGGCGAAUAUGGGGAAAAGCUCCGGCGGCAAAGGAUGGGCCCGCGGCCUGUUAGCUAGUUGGUGGGGUAGUGGCCUACCAAGGCAAUGAUGGGUAGCCGGGUUGAGAGACCGACCGGCCAGAUUGGGACUGAGACACGGCCCAGACUCCUACGGGAGGCAGCAGUU